CAGUAGCCGCGGUAAAACGUAGGUGGCAAGCGUUGUCCGGAAUUAUUGGGCGUAAAGGGCUCGCAGGCGGUUUCUUAAGUCUGAUGUGAAAGCCCCCGGCUCAACCGGGGAGGGUCAUUGGAAACUGGGAAACUUGAGUGCAGAAGAGGAGAGUGGAAUUCCACGUGUAGCGGUGAAAUGCGUAGAGAUGUGGAGGAACACCAGUGGCGAAGGCGACUCUCUGGUCUGUAACUGACGCUGAGGAGCGAAAGCGGGGGGAGCGAACAGGAUUAGAUACCCGCGUAGUCCCUGUCUCUUAUAC
rnacentral:rRNA from 1 species